GUGAGGAAUAUUGCGCAAUGGCCGCAAGGCUGACGCAGCAACGCCGCGUGAGGGAUGAAGUUCUUAGGAAUGUAAACCUCUGUUAGAGGGGACGAACAGACGAUCGUCGAAUAGGCGGUCGUUUUGACGGUACCUUCAGAGAAAGCCCCGGCUAACUCCGUGCCAGCAGCCGCGGUAACACGGGGGGGGCAAGCGUUGUCCGGAAUUAUUGGGCGUAAAGGGCGCGUAGGUGGGGUGACAAGUCCGAGGUGCAAACUUACGGCUUAACUGUAAGCUUGCCUUGGAAACUAUCACUCUUGAGUUCGGGAGAGGGAAAUGGAAUUCCUGGUGUAGCGGUGAAAUGCGUAGAUAUCAGGAAGAACACCGGUGGCGAAGGCGGUUUCCUGGCCCGAUACUGACACUGAGGCGCGAAAGUGCGGGGAGCAAACAGGAUUAGAUACCCCGGUAGUCC
rnacentral:rRNA from 1 species